UACGUAGGGUGCAAGCGUUAAUCGGAAUUACUGGGCGUAAAGCGUGCGCAGGCGGUGAUGUAAGACAGAUGUGAAAUCCCCGGGCUCAACCUGGGAACUGCAUUUGUGACUGCAUCGCUGGAGUGCGGCAGAGGGGGGAUGGAAUUCCGCGUGUAGCAGUGAAAUGCGUAGAUAUGCGGAGGAACACCGAUGGCGAAGGCAAUCCCCUGGGCCUGCACUGACGCUCAUGCACGAAAGCGUGGGGGAGCAAACAGG
rnacentral:rRNA from 1 species